rnacentral:rRNA from 1 species
GAUGAACGCUAGCGGGAGGCCUAACACAUGCAAGCCGAGCGGUAUUGUUUCUUCGGAAAUGAGAGAGCGGCGUACGGGUGCGUAACACGUGUGCAACCUGCCUUUAUCUGGGGGAUAGCCUUUCGAAAGGAAGAUUAAUACUCCAUAAUAUAUUGAACGGCAUCGUUUAAUAUUGAAAGCUCCGGCGGAUAGAGAUGGGCACGCGCAAGAUUAGCUAGUUGGUGAGGUAACGGCUCACCAAGGCGAUGAUCUUUAGGGGGCCUGAGAGGGUGAUCCCCCACACUGGUACUGAGACACGGACCAGACUCCUACGGGAGGCAGCAGUGAGGAAUUUUGGUCAAUGGGUGCAAGCCUGAACCAGCCAUCCCGCGUGAAGGACGACUGCCCUAUGGGUUGUAAACUUCUUUUGUAUAGGGAUAAACCUACCCUCGAGAGGGUAGCUGAAGGUACUAUACGAAUAAGCACCGGCUAACUCCGUG